UACGGGGGGGGCAAGCGUUGUUCGGAAUUACUGGGCGUAAAGGGCUCGUAGGCGGCCAACUAAGUCCGACGUGAAAUCCCCAGGCUCAACCUGGGAACUGCGUCGGAUACUGGAUGGCUUGAAUUCGGGAGAGGGAUGCAGAAUUCCAGGUGUAGCGGUGAAAUGCGUAGAUAUCUGGAGGAAUACCGGUGGCGAAGGCGGCAUCCUGGACCGACAUUGACGCUGAGGAGCGAAAGCUAGGGGAGCAAACGGGAUUAGAAACCCCCGUAG
rnacentral:rRNA from 1 species